GGCGGCACAGAACCCUGGUUUAGAGCAAAGCUUGGAUUAUCGUCCAUAAAUACGUUCUACACUGUUUUCUGUGAGCCUCUCCAUUUGCUUCUCCUGAGAGAUGGAAAUCAACAUUUGAAACUUUUGGGGGAAGCUUUCUUGGGGUUCCACACAUGGAAGCUUGCAAAGAGUGGAGCAUGUGACUCAGAGCUUUAUUCUGGAGGGAACACAUCCCUUGAACCAUCCCUGGACCAGACAGAGAACAUAGCCAGUGUCCCCAAGUGCCCCUGUGAUGGGAUGACUCCUUCCUCCUCAAAGAUAACCACCAUCCUGAUUUCUGACACCAGAGAUUGUUUUGUCUCUUUUUUUUUGGAGGGGAGGAACAUCAUAUAAAUGGAAUCAAAUGGCAGCUGCAUCCAGCUUCCUUCUUUCAACGUUAUAAUGAAGUUUGCUGACUCUUGAGAUGGUCCAGCCAAGUCACUGAGUAUCCUCGAACUCUCUAGUCCAUGCUGAGGCAAAGCACUCCACAGUUCUUCAACUCUGGCGCUCUGGAAGAGUAUUCUUUCUAUGGCUGGUGGCCAGUCCCUCCUCUAGGCAUGCUGUCUUCCUCUGCCUCCCAGAGAAGCUCAAGCGGUGCACCAGAGCUUCAGAUAUGGUCUGCUCAAGCACGCAGGAGUCAUUGUCUCCUGGGGAAGCUCACACAGUGCACCAGAGCUUCAGGUAUGGUUUGUUCAAGCACACAGUAGUUUUUGCCUCAUGGGGAAACUCACACAGUGCACUUGAGCUUCAGGUAUGGUCUACUCAAGCACUCAGAAGUCUGCCUCCUUGCUUCUCACAUCACUGAGGUAGCCAGAGAUUGUUUCUAUUUUUAUCUUAUUUUUUGACAAGCACAUCAUUUUUAGUUGCAAUAAAUACAGCAAUGGAUUAAAAUGCCCUCUUGGUAUUCUUGGGUACAGAGGAGUAUAUGGAAGCAUAUAUUAGUAUUAAAGAUGGCCUAAAAGCCUCAAAGCAUCCAUCAGUCUGCAAGGAGUGCUACUGUAUGAGAUCUGUAGAGAUCAAAUGCCCCUCAUGUCUUGACACAUAAAUACCCACCCUUUGGAGUUCCCAUCGUGGUGCAGUGGUUAACGAAUUCGACUAGGAACCACGAGGUUGUGGGUUUGGUCCCUGGCCUCACUCAGUGGGUUAAGGAUCCGGCGUUGCCGUGAGCUGUAGUGUAGGUUGCAGAUGUGGCUUGGAUCCUGCAUUGCUGUGGCUCUAGCGUAGGCCAGUGGCUACAGCUCUGAUUAUACCCCUAGCCUGGGAGCCUCCAUAUGCUGUGGGAGCGGCCCCAGAAAAGGCAAAAAAAGACCAAAAAAAAAAAAAAAUACCCACCCUUUUAUGUAGACUUACAUAAUGAUGGUGAGGCCUCAAGGUCAAUGCCAAUUCGCCACGCCAGGCUGGGCAGUGUUCUCAGCCUCCCGACCUCGCGCCACGCUUUCUCUUCAAAACAGCCCCAGCCAAACCUGAUCGUGAAGCAGCUUCUGGCCCGCAGGUCGCUGUGCUCCCUCUUCUCGUCUCUUGGCUGGAAGCGCAGAUUUGGGUUCUGUUCCUGACUCAGUCCAAGUGCCAGGUUGGUCAACAAGAGGAAGGGUCCUUACUGGGGACUAAAGGCCAGUGUACACAGACACCUACCUCCGUUACUUCUCACCUCCACAGCCACCCUGCGCGGCGGACACCACAUCCUGCAUCUUACAGGUGAUGGAGUCAAGGCUCAGUUCACUAGCUUUCCUAGCGCCAGAGAGUAACACGCCCAGGGUUUAGCCCAAAUGAUUUUGAAGCUGUAGCAGAGGAGGUAGGGCCCCCUGGACCUCUGCAGCCUGGUGCUCACCCUUCCGUGUGCUGCCCGGAGCUGGUUAGUUGGCAUGAAAUGGCUUAGCCUCAGGACUGAGGCUCUCAUGUCACACAUGCCAGGGAGCCAGUGCAGCCUUCGUGGUGACAAAUGUGGGAGAUCCUUGGGCCCAACACCUCUUCACGAAGUGCCUUCUGGGCCUCUUAGGCCAAAAGCCAGAACCAGGAUGGAGUGACAGAAGCCUCCGAAUAGGUCCAGGGGAGCUGGAAUAAACCUUUCAAGAUGAAAAGUCCUGAGUGCAUCAUUUAUAAUUACACCUGUUUCCUUUGCUCAGUUCUAACAGUCAACCUAUUGACGAGGAAUUUUGCCGUCUUCCUCCUCCUCGUCAUCAUGCUAUCAGGAUCUGCUCCUCCCUGUCCACUCCCCCAAAGGGUUCUCAUGACAGUUGGUUUCACCCCACCACUCAGAGGAGGAGGUGUAUUUCAAUGAGCUCCCCGCUUCCCCUUCUCCCCACACCCUGC
rnacentral:lncRNA from 1 species